rnacentral:rRNA from 1 species
UGGGGAAUCUUGCGCAAUGCGCGAAAGCGUGACGCAGCAACGCCGCGUGGGGGAAGACGGCCUUCGGGUUGUAAACCCCUUUCAGGAGGGACGAAGGCUCGCCGGUUAACAGCCGUGCGGGUUGACGGUACCUUCAGAAGAAGCUCCGGCUAACUACGUGCCAGCAGCCGCGGUAAUACGUAGGGAGCAAGCGUUGUCCGGAAUCAUUGGGCGUAAAGCGCGCGUAGGCGGCCCCGUAAGUCCGCUGUGAAAGUCAAAGGCUCAACCUUUGAAAGCCGGUGGAUACUGUGGGGCUAGAGUCCGGAAGAGGCGAGUGGAAUUCCUGGUGUAGCGGUGGAAUGCGCAGACAUCAGGAGGAACACCAAUAGCGAAGGCAGCUCGCUGGGACGGUACUGACGCUAAGGCGCGAAAGCGUGGGGAGCGAACAGG